GCUGUGUCUGUGGGCUCUCCUUCACCGCAGCCAAUGUGAGUAAAACAUUUAAAUGUGUUAACCCUCGCAAGGCUGCCGGCCCAGACGGCAUCCCUAGCCGCAUCCUCAGAGCAUGUGCAGACCAGUUGGAUGGUGUGUUUACGGACAUAUUCAAUUCAUUCCUUCCCUGUAACGCACAACAUUAAGACUGCCUGCAACGACGGCAAGCUCAGUCCGAUGAUGCUGUGACACACCACCCCAGACCAUGACGGACCCUCCACCUCCAAAUCGAUCCCGCUCCAGAGUAUAGGCCUCGGUGUAACGCUCAUUCCUUCAACAAUAAAUUCAAAUCCGACCAUCACCCCUGGUGAGACAAAACCCUGACUCGUCAGUGAAGAGCACUUUUUGCCAGUCCUGUCUGGUCCAGCGACUGUUUUUUUUUUGCCCAUAGGCGACAUUGUUGCCGGUGAUGUCUGGUGAGGAACUGCCUUACAACAGGCCUACAAGCCCUCAGUCCAGCCUAUCACGGACAGUCUGAGCACUGAUGGAGGGAUUGUGCGUUCCUGGUGUAACUCGGCCAGUUGUUGCCAUCCUGUACCUGUCCCUCAGGUGUGAUGUUUGGGUGUACCGAUCCUGUGCAGUUGUUACACGUGGUCUGCGACUGCGAGGACGAUCAGCUGUUUAUCCUGUCUCCCUGUAGCGCUGUCUUAGGCAUCUCACAGUACAGACAUGGCAAUUUAUUGCCCUGGCCACAUCUGCAGUCCUCAUGCCUCCUUGCAGCAUGCCUAUGGCACGUUCACGCAGAUGAACAGGGAUCCCAGGCAUCUUUCUUUUGGUGUUUUUCAGAGUCAGUAGAAAGGCCUUUUGAGUGUCUAGGUUUUCUUAACGGUGACCUUAAUUGCCAUCUGUCUAAGCUGUUAGUGUCUUAACGACUGUUCCACAGGUGCAUGUUCAUUCAUUGUUUAUGGCUCAUUGAACAAGCAUGGGAAAUAGUGUUAAUUAACCCUUUACAGUGAAGUUAUUUGGAUUUUUUACGAAUUAUCUUUGAAAUACAGGGUGUGAAAGGGACGUUUCAUUUUUUGCUGAGUUUAUUUACUAAAUGGACAUUUUUUAAAGUUAAGACUCAUAACUCCACCCGAGGAGGACGCUAAACGUAAGGAUAUCUGGUUAGCUACUAGGGCAAGAGUGCUGGAACACGAGAGCAGAGAAUGGCUCCGCUUCACCAUGGGGAUGAAUUACUUCUGACAUGAUUAGGUGGUACCAUUUAUUUACUGUCAAGUAAUUAUCAAAUUGAUCAGUCUUUUGAAUAUUCUUACAACAGCUUGUCUAACAUUUUAUUGUCUGAUUUGAGUGUCUUUUUUUACAGCUACAGACUUUUGAGGAGGUUGCUAAAGGACACCUUAUGGUUGUUUCUGCCUUGAGGUGGAGUGGAGGAAGCGGAGGGAAGAGCUAUGGUUCCACUGAGGAAGCCAAACAUAAGGAGGUCUGGUUAGCUACUAGGACGAGAGUGAUGGAACACAACAAGCGGGCAGAGAAUGGCUCGGAGAGCUUCACCGUGGGGAUGAAUCAUGCUUCUGACAGGGUAUGAUCACGACUACUGGGAAGGUUACAAGAUGAAGGCAGACACAUCGAUGGCUCUGAACGAACUUUAACCCUCGCAAGGCUGCAGGCCCAGACGGCAUCCCCAGCCGCGCCCUCAGAGCAUGCGCAGACCAGCUGGCUGGUGUGUUUACGGACAUAUUCAAUCAAUCCUUAUCCCAGUCUGCUGUUCCCACAUGCUUCAAGAUGGCCACCAUUGUUCCUGUUCCCAAGAAAGCUAAGGUAACUGCGCUAAACGACUACCGCCCUGUAGCACUCACUUCCAUCAUCAUGAAGUGCUUUGAGAGACUAGUCAAGGACCAUAUCACCUCCACCCUACCUGACACCCUAGACCCAGUCCAAUUUGCUUACUGCCCAAAUAGGUCCACAGACGAUGCAAUCUCAACCACACUGCCCUAACCCAUCUGGACAAGAGGAAUACCUAUGUGAGAAUGCUGUUCAUCGACUACAGCUCAGCAAUUAACACCAUAGUACCCUCCAAACUCGUCAUCAAGCUCAAGACCCUGGGUCUCGACUCUGCCCUGUGCAACUGGGUACUGGACUUCCUGACGGGCCGCCCCCAGGUGGUGAGGGUAGGUAACAUCUCCACCCUGCUGAUCCUCAACACAAGGGUGCGUUCUGAGCCCUCUCCUGUACUCCCUGUUCACCCACGACUGCGUGGCCAUGCACGCCUCCAACUCAAUCAUCAAGUUUGCGGAUGACACAACAGUGGUAGGCUUGAUUACCAACAACGGCAAGACGGCCUACAGGGAGGAGGUGAGGGCCCUCGGAGUGUGGUGUCAGGAAAAUAACCUCACACUCAACGUCAACAAAACUAAGGAGAUGAUUGUGGACUUCAGGAAACAGCAGAGGGAACACCCCCCUAUCCACAUCGAUGGAACAGUAGUGGAGAGGGUAGUAAGUUUUAAGUUCCUUGGCGUACACAUCACAGACAAACUGAAUUGGUCCACCCACACAGACAGCAUCGUGAAGAAGGCGCAGCAGCGCCUCUUCAACCUCAGG
ensembl:lncRNA